rnacentral:rRNA from 1 species
CAGCCGCCACGGGAAUACGUGGGUGGCAAGCGUUGUCCGGAAUUAUUGGGCGUAAAGGGCCCGCAGGCGGUUUCUUAAGCCUGAUGUGAAAGCCCCCGGCUCAACCGGAGAGGGUCAUUGGAAACUGGGAAACUUGAGUGCAGAAGAGGAGAGUGGAAUUCCACGUGUAGCGGUGAAAUGCGUAGAGAUGUGGAGGAACACCAGUGGCGAAGGCGACUCUCUGGUCUGUAACUGACGCUGAGGAGCGAAAGCGUGGGGAGCGAACAGGAUUAGAUACCCCUGUAGUCCCUGUCUCUUAUAC